UCUUCCCUCUUUCUUCGUGCCUAAUACAUGCAAGUCGAGCGAACAGACGAGGAGCUUGCUCCUCUGACGUUAGCGGCGGACGGGUGAGUAACACGUGGGGAACCUACCUAUAAGACUGGGAUAACUUCGGGAAACCGGAGCUAAUACCGGAUAAUAUAUUUAACCGCAUGGUUCAAUAGUGAAAGACGGUUUUGCUGUAACUUAUAGAUGGAUCCGCGCCGCAUUAGCUAGUUGGUAAGGUAACGGCUUACCAAGGCAACGAUGCGUAGCCGACCUGAGAGGGUGAUCGGCCACACUGGAACUGAGACACGGUCCAGACUCCUACGGGAGGCAGCAGUAGGGAAUCUUCCGCAAUGGGCGAAAGCCUGACGGAGCAACGCCGCGUGAGUGAUGAAGGUCUUCGGAUCGUAAAACUCUGUUAUUAGGGAAGAACAAAUGUGUAAGUAACUAUGCACGUCUUGACGGUACCUAAUCAGAAAGCCACGGCUAACUACGUG
rnacentral:rRNA from 1 species